rnacentral:rRNA from 1 species
UACGUAGGGAGCAAGCGUUGUCCGGAAUCAUUGGGCGUAAAGCGCGCGUAGGCGGCCUUGUAAGUCCGUUGUGAAAGUCAAAGGCUCAACCUUUGAAAGCCGAUGGAUACUGCAAGGCUGGAGUCCGGAAGAGGUGAGUGGAAUUCCUGGUGUAGCGGUGGAAUGCGCAGAUAUCAGGAGGAACACCAAUAGCGAAGGCAGCUCGCUGGGACGGUACUGACGCUAAGGCGCGAAAGCGUGGGGAGCGAACAGG